rnacentral:rRNA from 1 species
AUACGGAGGAUGCAAGCGUUAUCCGGAUUUAUUGGGUUUAAAGGGUGCGUAGGCGGAUGAUUAAGCGUGAGGUGAAAUGCCACUGCUCAACAGUGGAACUGCCUCGCGAACUGGUUGUCUUGAAUGCUCCUGCCGUGGGCGGAAUGUGUGGUGUAGCGGUGAAAUGCAUAGAGAUCACACAGAACACCGAUUGCGAAGGCAUCUCACGAAGGGGUGAUUGACGCUGAGGCACGAAAGCGUGGGGAUCAAACAGGAUUAGAUACCCUGGUAGUCCACGCAGUAAACGAUGAUAACUAACCGCUGGGUCGUAGUGAUUCAGUGGCCAAGCGAAAGCGAUAAGUUAUCCACCUGGGGAGUACGACCGCAAGGUUGAAACUCAAAUGAAUUGGCGGGG